rnacentral:rRNA from 1 species
UACGGGAGGGGCAAGCGUUAUCCGAAAUUACUGGGCGUAAAGAGUCCGUAGAUUGUAAUAUAAGUUAUAUGUUAAAAUUUAAAGCUUAACUUUAAAAAAAUAUACAAUACUGUUUUACUUGAGUUUUAUACGAAAGAGUAGAAUUUCAUGUUAAGGAGUAAAUUCCAAGAAUACAUGAAGGAAUAUCAUUAGCGAAGGCGACUCUUUAGUACAAACUGACAUUGAGGGACGAAAGUGUAGGGAGCAAACAGGAUUAGAUACCCUGGUAGUCUACACUGUAAAUUCUGAGUGCUGUAAUUUAGAAAGUAAAUUCUGGAUUUUUUAAGCUAACGCCAUAAGCAUUCCGCCUGAGGAGUACGAUUGCAAAAUUGGAACUCAAAGGAAUUGACGGGAGCCUACAACGAGUGGUGGAGCAUGUGGUUUAAUGCGAUAAUCCGCGCAAAACCUUACCAACCCUUGACAUAUUGAAAAAUAAUUUAAAUUAAUAAAUUUUGUUUAUUAUUGAUAUUAGUUAAAAAACUAAUAAUUUUUCAUUACAGGUGUUGCACGACUGUCGUCAGUUCGUGUCGUGAGAUGUUUGGUUCAUUCCUUUAAACGAGCGUAACUCUUGUUUUUAAAAAUUUACUUUUAAUUUUUAAUUUUUAUUAAAAAUUUUGUUUUAAAAAGACUGUUUGUUAAUUAAAACUUUAAAGGAAGGUGAGAAUUAAGUCAAGUCACUGUGGCCCUUAUGGGUUGGGCUACACACGUGCUACAAUGAAAAUGACAAAAAGUAACAAAAAAUUUUAGUUAAUCUUUAAAAAUUUUCUUAGUUCGAAUUGUAAACUGCAACUCGUUUACAUGAAGAUGGAAUCACAAGUAAUCGCAAAUCAGAAUGUUGCGGUGAAUACGUAGCUUGGCUU